UUUGCACAUGGACUCGUCGAGUCCCCUGUCCAAACAACAAAAAAUUCGAUUUUUUCAGCAAAUUGCAUCAAGUAUAAUUGAAAACAGGCCUAGGCUAUGAUACCACUGAUGGGUUUUGAGCAUUCUAAAACUCCUAUGGUGUACAUGCAACCCUAUAAACCUUGGAUCUAUGUUUUCUCUAUUAUACAUGCAAAUAUUCAAUAUUCCAAGGUUUCAUUCUAACUAGCAUAAUAUGAAGUAUAUACAAUUCAAGAAUCUAGUAGAAUAACAUACCUUUUGAUGGAGCUUGAAGUCUUGAACCUUUAAGAGCUUAGUGCCCCAAGUGUUGCACCUCAAAUGGUUCACACAACACCAAAAACCCUUGGAAUAACUUGAGAAGAAGGUUACUUAGGUUCACUCUUAUGAGAUCGGCCUUGCCCUCUUUUUCUGUAUGCACUAGUGGCAUUUCAUGAAGCAUAGACCACUUUAUAUAGUGUGGAGGAUUAGGGUUACAUUCAUGUAAACCCUAAUACCCAUGACCUUUCAUUUCCAUAGGAUCCAUGGGUUAAAAACUCCAUGGACUAUCCAUGCAAGCUUAGCCCAACCUAAAUGAACUUGGCCCAUCCUAUAUAUAUAAGAGUCCAUAUUUAAUUAGUUCCUUUUGAUCAAUAAAUUAAUUUUAAAUUAAUUAUUGAUCAAUACUAAUUAACUAAUAUGAAUUCAUAUUAAUAUAUUAGAACUUAUAAUAUAUUAAUAUAAAUCAUAAGUAUCCUUUUUCUCAUUUUGUCUAUCCAAUUGUUCUGAUUCCAUGCAACCCAAAUGGACCAUGCCAAAUUGGGUUAAGUGAUGGGUUUUUAAGCAUUCUAACACUCCUAUGGUGUACAUGCAACCCUAUAAACCUUGGAUCUAUGUUUUCUCUAUUAUACAUGCAAAUACUUAAUAUUCCAAGGUUUCAUCCUAACUAGCAUAAUAUGAAGCAACUAUACUACAAAAGUCUAGUUAGAUAACAUACCUUUUG
rnacentral:lncRNA from 1 species